AUAAGUAACGAUAAUGCGGGCGAGAAACCCGCACGCCGAAAGACCAAGGUUUCCCCGGCCAUGCUAAUCAGCCGGGGGUCAGUCGGGACCUAACACGAACCCGGAAGGGGCAGUGGAUGGACAAGCGGUUAAUAUUCCGCUACCCGCAUAUCAUUAAAAGUGACGGGGCAGUUUAGUUGGUGCGUGCUGACGGAAUAGCACGUUGAAGCGCAAGCGAUAGUACGACAAGGCCACGGCCGCGUCGAUAAUCCAGCGGCACUGCCUCCAAGAAAAGCGAGAUAUGCGGCCCGUACCGUAAACCGACACAGGUAGUCAAGGAGAGAAUCCUAAGGUGCUCGAGUGAUCCGUGGCUAAGGAACUAGGCAAAAUGGCCCUGUAACUUCGGGAGAAGGGGCGCCUCCUCUGCAAAGAGAGGCCGCAGUGAAAAGGCCCAGGCGACUGUUUAGCAAAAACACAUGGCUUUGCGAAAUCGAAAGAUAAAGUAUAAGGCCUGACACCUGCC
rnacentral:rRNA from 1 species